GACAGGUCUCUAAGCCUUGCAGGGAACAACAAGAACAACAACAGAAAAGAGUAGAAAAAGAAAUUGAACUUACCGCGGGGUGCUGAAGGUGGACCAGCUGAAAAACAGAGAGGUUUGGAAAUUGCUCUCUUCAUGUCAUCAUAAUAAACCACUAGAAACUUGCAUUUACUUUUGACUGAUUAUUGAAGUGUCUGGUUAUGGAGAACAAAGAAAUUGGAGAAAUGUGAAGCUUAAGCUUCUGCUGUGCUGCAGCGAAGAAGUCUGGGAAGUUUAGGAAGAUAUCCUCUUGAUUAAAUGGGGCUAAAUGUCAGCAGAAUUGAAGAAAAGUAAAGGAACUUACCAAUACUUGAUCGAGACAGUGCUAAAAUAAAACACAUCAAAAGAAGAAUGAGUUCUGUUUGUCCCAGGGAGAACUUAGAUGCCAU
rnacentral:lncRNA from 10 species